rnacentral:rRNA from 1 species
AGCCCAAACCGAUAUUGUUACGGCAAUAUCGGGGUUGUAGGACUGCAAUAUUCAAUUAACAAUGAACUGGAAUGGUCUGGAAAGUCCAUCCAUAGAGAGUGAAAGGCUCGUACAGGUAAGUUUGUUAUGCGAUAGCAGUAUCCUGAGUAUGGCGGGACACGAGGAAUCCUGUCAGAAUCAGCCGGGACCACCCGGUAAGGCUAAAUACUCCCAAGAGACCGAUAGUGGACCAGUACUGUGAAGGAAAGGUGAAAAGAACCCCGAACAGGGGAGUGAAAUAGAACCUGAAACCAUACGCUUACAACCGGUCGGAGCAGCUUCGUGCUGUGACGGCGUGCCUAUUGAAUAAUGAGCCUACGAGUUACUAAUCACUAGCGAGGUUAAGUGCAAGGAUGCACGGAGCCGAAGCGAAAGCGAGUCUGAACAGGGCGUUUAGUUAGUGGUUGUAGACGCGAAACCUUGCGAUCUACCCUUGAGCAGGUUGAAGGUUGGGUAAAACCAACUGGAGGACCGAACGAAUAAGCGUUGAAAAGCUUCUCGAUGACUUGAGGGUAGGGGUGAAAGGCUAAUCAAGCUGGGAAAUAGCUCGUACUCCCCGAAAUGCCUUUUGGGGCAGCGUUGUAAUAAAGAGUCUACUGGAGGUAGAGCUACUGAUUGGAUGCGGGGGCUUCACCGCCUACCAAAUCCUGACAAACUCCGAAUGCCAGUAGUAUGAUUUACAGCAGUGAGUGACUGGGUGCUAAUGUCCAGUCGCAAAAGAGGAACAACUCAGACCAGCAACUAAGGUCCCGAAGAAUAUGCUAAGUUGAUCUAACGAUGUUUUGUUGCAGAGACAGCUAGGAUGUUAGCUUGGAAGCAGCUAUUCAUUCAAAGAGUGCGUAACAGCUCACUAGUCGAGCGACAGAGCGUGGAUAAUAAACGGGCAUCAAGCAUAUCACCGAAGUUCUGGGCGCGAGAGCGCGGUAGGGGAGCAUUCCAUUCAGCGUCGAAGCAGUUUCGUGAGGAAUUGUGGAGCGUAUGGAAAAGCAAAUGUAGGCAUGAGUAACGAUAAUGCGGGAGAGUAACCCGCACACCGCAAGACCAAGGUUUCCUGAUCAACGCUAAUCGGAUCAGGGUUAGUCGGGUCCUAAGGGUAAGCCGAACGGCGAUCUCGAUGGAUAAUCGGUUAAUAUUCCGAUACUAACAUAUACCUCGAUGGAGAGACGAAGGAACGUAAGUGCCGCCACCUGACGGAAUAGGUGGUUAAAGGGCGUAGGUAUAGGGACAGAUUAAGAGUUAGUCCUUGCUGAAACCUGACAGUACAGAGAGCCUACGGGCAAUUUGAUAGAGCACCCAAGUCGACUUCCGAGAAAAUCUUCUAAGUUAUAGUAUAUGUUACCCGUACCGUAAACCGACACAGGUGGUCGAGGAGAGUAUCCUAAGGUGCUCGAGUGAAUCACGGUUAAGGAACUAGGCAAAUUAACCCCGUAACUUCGGGAAAAGGGGUCCCUAUGAAAGUAGGGCGCAGCGAAGAGGUCCAGGCGACUGUUUAUCAAAAACACAGGGCUCUGCAAAUUCGAAAGAAGACGUAUAGGGCCUGACACCUGCCCGGUGCUGGAAGGUUAAGAGGGGAUGUCAUCGCAAGAGAAGCAUUGAAUCGAAGCCCCAGUAAACGGCGGCCGUAACUAUAACGGUCCUAAGGUAGCGAAAUUCCUUGUCGGGUAAGUUCCGACCUGCACGAAUGGUGUAACGAUCUGGACACUGUCUCAACCGUGAGCUCGGUGAAAUUGUAGUCCCGGUGAUGAUGCCGGGUACCCGCAACGGGACGAAAAGACCCCGUGAACCUUUACUAUAGCUUAACGCUGAAUUUGGGUACACAAUGUGUAGGAUAGGCCGGAGGCUUUGAAGCGGGCACGCCAGUGUUCGUGGAGCCGACGUUGAAAUACGGCCCUUUGUGUAUUUGAGUUCUAACCCUGCGAAGGGGACACCGUUUGGUGGGUAGUUUGACUGGGGUGGUCGCCUCCAAAAGCGUAACGGAGGCUUCCCAAGGUACCCUCAGCACGAAUGGUAACCGUGCGCAGAGUGCAAUGGCACAAGGGUGCUUGACUGUGAGACCAACAAGUCGACCAGGUGCGAAAGCAGGGCAUAGUGAUCCGGUGGUUCUGUGUGGACUGGCCAUCGCUCAAAGGAUAAAAGGUACUCCGGGGAUAACAGGCUGAUCGCCGCCAAGAGCUCAUAUCGACGCGGCGGUUUGGCACCUCGAUGUCGGCUCGUCACAUCCUGGGGCUGGAGAAGGUCCCAA